rnacentral:rRNA from 1 species
UACGUAGGUGGCAAGCGUUGUCCGGAAUUAUUGGGCGUAAAGCGCGCGCAGGUGGUUCCUUAAGUCUGAUGUGAAAGCCCACGGCUCAACCGUGGAGGGUCAUUGGAAACUGGGGAACUUGAGUGCAGAAGAGGAAAGUGGAAUUCCAAGUGUAGCGGUGAAAUGCGUAGAGAUUUGGAGGAACACCAGUGGCGAAGGCGACUUUCUGGUCUGUAACUGACACUGAGGCGCGAAAGCGUGGGGAGCAACAGG